rnacentral:rRNA from 1 species
UACGUAGGGUGCAAGCGUUGUCCGGAAUUAUUGGGCGUAAAGAGCUCGUAGGCGGUCUGUCGCGUCGGAUGUGAAAACCCAGGGCUCAACCCUGGGCCUGCAUUCGAUACGGGCAGACUAGAGUUCGGUAGGGGAGACUGGAAUUCCUGGUGUAGCGGUGAAAUGCGCAGAUAUCAGGAGGAACACCGAUGGCGAAGGCAGUGUUCUGGGCCGAAACUGACGCUGAGGAGCGAAAGCGUGGGGAGCGAACAGG